GCCCCUGUAGCUCAGCAGGAUAGAGCAGCGGUUUCCUAAACCGCAGGUCACCCGUUCAAAUCGGGUCAGGGGUA
rnacentral:tRNA from 1 species